rnacentral:rRNA from 1 species
AUUGAACGCUGGCGGAAUGCUUUACACAUGCAAGUCGAACGGCAGCACGGACUUCGGUCUGGUGGCGAGUGGCGAACGGGUGAGUAAUAUAUCGGAACGUGCCCAGUCGUGGGGGAUAACGUAGCGAAAGCUACGCUAAUACCGCAUACGAUCUACGGAUGAAAGCGGGGGAUCGCAAGACCUCGCGCGAUUGGAGCGGGCGAGAUCCGAUUAGGUAGUUGGUGAGGUAAAGGCUCACCAAGCCGACGAUCGUUAGCUGGUCGGAGAGGACGACCAGCCACACUGGGACUGAGACACGGCCCAGACUCCUACGGGAGGCAGCAGUGGGGAAUUUUGGACAAUGGACGCAAGUCUGAUCCAGCCAUUCCGCGUGCAGGACGAAGGCCUUCGGGUUGUAAACUGCUUUUGUACAGAACGAAAAGGUCUCUAUUAAUACUAGGGGCUCAUGACGGUACUGUAAGAAUAAGCACCGGCUAACUACGUGCCAGCCGCCGCAGUAA